rnacentral:rRNA from 1 species
CGGGUGAGUAACACGUGGAUAAUCUACCCUGGAGUGGGGAAUAACGCUGGGAAACCGGCGCUAAUACCGCAUAAUCCCGAGAGGGGAAAGCGUCUCAUGAAAGUGAGGGGCGUCAGAAGAGGAGUCCGCGGCUGAUUAGCUAGUUGGUGAGGUAAGAGCUCACCAAGGCAACGAUCAGUAGCCGGCCUGAGAGGGCACACGGCCACACUGGCACUGAAACACGGGCCAG